rnacentral:rRNA from 1 species
GACGAACGCUGGCGGCGUGCUUAACACAUGCAAGUCGAACGGAAAGGCCCGGCUUUUGGGGGGUGCUCGAGUGGCGAACGGGUGAGUAACACGUGAGUAACCUGUACUUGACAUUGGGAUAACUUCAGGAAACUUGGGCUCAUACCGGAUAGGAGCUCUUGCUGCAUGGUGGGGGUUGGAAAGUUUCGGCGGUUGGGGAUGGACUCGCGGCUUAUGGGCUUGUUGGUGGGGUAGUGGCUUACCAAGGCUUGGAAGGGUAGCAGGCCUGAGAGGGUGACCGGCCACAUGAGGCCUGAGAUACGGCCCAGACUCGUACGGGAGGCAGCAGUGGAGAAUAUUGCACAAUGGGCGGAAGCAUGGUGUAGCCACGCCGCGUGCGGGAUGACGGGCUUCGGGUUGUAAACCGCUUUCGCCUGAGACGAGGCGUGAGUGACGGUAAUGGGUAAAGAAGCACCGGCUAACUACGUG